rnacentral:tRNA from 1 species
GUCAGGAUGGCCGAGCGGUCUAAGGCGCUGUGUUCAGGUCCCAGUCUCCCCUGGAGGCGUGGGUUCCAAUCCCACUUCUGACA